GCGCCAUCCAAGCCCCAUUAUCCGGCUUCAGCGCUCCGUGCGUCCGGCCCAGGGCCUACUGCAGUGCAUGAAGGUGGUAUGGACUCAGAACUCUGAAGUCUGAGGAGACAAAUACAUGCCCACCAUAACAACAUCACACAAUACCUAGAGUCAAAACAGUUAUCCCUAUUCCUACCCCCAACUGAGUUAUUCAAUAAAGCCUGCCUUGUUGAAUCUGUUUUCCCAUGUAUAGUUUAUAUAGUUACAUAACAAUUAGUUUUUUCCAUAUACUUAGGAUAACUACAUGUAAUUUAGUAUUCUGCUGUUUUCACUUACAUAUCACAUACAUUUUCCUGAUACAGGUACAUAGUCUUUAUAUUUGUCAUUUUUCACUUGACUGCUAUGUUUCUCAAAUUGAUAUACUGUCAUUUCCUAAGCCAGUUAUAUAUUGUUGAACAUUUAAAUUACUCCCUUUUUUGGUUUGUAAAUAAACAUUGUUAUGAAAUAGUUUUUGUUUGGUUGGUUUUUGAUCAUUUCCUGGGAAAGUAUUCUCAAAACUGAAAUUACUGAAUCAGUGGGAGUGAACACAGG
rnacentral:lncRNA from 1 species